AACGAACGCUGGCGGCAUGCCUAACACAUGCAAGUCGAACGAGACCUUCGGGUCUAGUGGCGCACGGGUGCGUAACGCGUGGGAACCUGCCCUUAGGUUCGGAAUAACUCCCCGACAGGGGUGCUAAUACCGGAUAAUGUCUUCGGACCAAAGAUUUAUCGCCUUUGGAUGGGCCCGCGUUGGAUUAGCUAGUUGGUAGGGUAAAAGCCUACCACGGCGACGAUCCAUAGCUGGUCUGAGAGGAUGAUCAGCCACACUGGGACUGAGACACGGCCCAGACUCCUACGGGAGGCAGCAGUGGGGAAUAUUGGACAAUGGGCGAAAGCCUGAUGCAGCAAUGCCGCGUGAGUGAUGAAGGCCUUAGGGUUGAAAAGCUCUUUUACCCGGGAUGAUAAUGACAGUACCGGGAGAAUAAGCUCCGGCUAACUCCGUG
rnacentral:rRNA from 1 species